GUAUAAGUAUGCUAGUUUACAUGUACAGAAUGCUAGUGUAUAAGUAUGCUAGUUUGUGUGUUAGAAUGCUAGAGUAUAAGUAUGCUAGUUUAUAUGUACAGAAUGCUAGUGUAUAAGUAUGCUAGUUUAUAUGUACAGAAUGCUAGUGUAUAAGUAUGCUAGUUUAUAUGUACAGAAUGCUAGUGUAUAAGUAUGCUAGUUUAUAUGUACAGAAUGCUAGUGUAUAAGUAUGCUAGUUUGUGUGCUAGAAUGCUAGUGUAUAAGUAUGCUAGUUUAUAUGUACAGAAUGCUAGUGUAUAAGUAUGCUAGCUUGUUAGUACAGCACAAACACAUGACUUGUCACCAUGGGAAUCUGUGAUAAUCCCUUUGCUUUUUUUUUUUUAAAUGAAGUCCAACGUAAUUGCAGUUUUCAUGACUAACUUUUAAAGCUCUCUCUUUUUUCACGUUUCUAUUUUUUGUUCCUCGUUUUGCUUCUUUGCAUAUUUACUUCUCUCUCCGACACUUUUCUUUCCCUGCGUGAUCUGUUUUUCCUGUGCUCAUUUCCCCACUCUUCAUUCCUCCGUCUCCCUCUCCGUCUCUCCGUCCUUCUCCUCGACCCCGUGCAGUGUUUUAUCUGCGUAUCUGUUUAGCGCAUCGUUAAGCUUCCCUCUCUCUCGCUGGGGGUUUGUGCAGUUUCUCAGCAGCGGGCCACCGGGGCGGCCGUUAAAACUCUGCAGUAACACCGAGCCCUGCCGAGCCCAGUGUGGAGCACUGACACUGCUUUCAGAUAAUAAGGAAUAAAUCACUCGGUCUCAUGCUGCUGGUGGAAAAUAAUCAACAGUGGCGUGGUGUCAUGAAGCAGCGUUCCAGUCACCAGAUUGUGUUUUAUUCCUCUUCUACCACAGCAACCUGCUAACAGCUACAGUCUUUUAUUUAGUCAAGAACAGCACGUCGGGAUUUUUAUUCAAUUACAGCUACAUUUAACGAUGGUUCCUGUUCUCACUUACGUUACAGCAGCUAUAAACCGCCGCUCCCUCACCAGACUCUCUCUCUCUCUC
ensembl:lncRNA